rnacentral:rRNA from 1 species
GAUGAACGCUGGCGGCGUGCCUAAUACAUGCAAGUCGAGCGAACAGAUAAGGAGCUUGCUCCUUUGACGUUAGCGGCGGACGGGUGAGUAACACGUGGGUAACCUACCUAUAAGACUGGGAUAACUUCGGGAAACCGGAGCUAAUACCGGAUAACAUUUGGAACCGCAUGGUUCUAAAGUGAAAGAUGGUUUUGCUAUCACUUAUAGAUGGACCCGCGCCGUAUUAGCUAGUUGGUAAGGUAACGGCUUACCAAGGCAACGAUACGUAGCCGACCUGAGAGGGUGAUCGGCCACACUGGAACUGAGACACGGUCCAGACUCCUACGGGAGGCAGCAGUAGGGAAUCUUCCGCAAUGGGCGAAAGCCUGACGGAGCAACGCCGCGUGAGUGAUGAAGGGUUUCGGCUCGUAAAACUCUGUUAUUAGGGAAGAACAAACGUGUAAGUAACUGUACACGUCUUGACGGUACCUAAUCAGAAAGCCACGGCUAACUACGUG